rnacentral:sRNA from 1 species
GAGAGGGUCUGUCAGUGCUGAGAGGCUGAGGGAGUUGGGAAUGGAGCGGGACUGGGUGAGCACCAACUAAGAGGAAUGGCUACUCACCACACAGAGGGAGAGCAGGCCUCCAGGAGGCUCAGGGCUGGCCCCACAGCGCAGGCGCAAGGGAAGAGCCCCAUGCCAGUCUUCCACAACUGAACACUUUCCUCUUUCCACAGUGGCCUCUGACCCCAGGCAUCUCAGGAACAAGGUGAGUCUCCCCUUCUGCAUGCCCUCCCGCACCCCCAGGCCCACCCUGGUCCUCACGCAUGUGCUCUUGCCUCCUAGGGUUCCCCUAUCAUCUACUCUGAAGUUAAGGUGGCAUCAACCCCGGUUUCCGGAUCCCUGUUCUUGGCUUCCUCAGCUCCUCACAGAUGAGUCCAUACGUCUCUCCAACUGCUGUUUCAGCCUCUGCACCCCAAAGUUCCCCUUGGGGGAGAAGCAGCAUUGAAGUGGGAAGAUUUAGGCUGCCCCAGACCAUAUCUACUGGCCUUUGUUUCACAUGUCCUCAUUCUCAGUCUGACCAGAAUGCAGGGCCCUGCUGGACUGUCACCUAUUUCCCAGUUACAGCCCAGACUGGCAGGUUUUUUAAUCCAGUGGCAAGGUGCUCCCACUCCAGGGCCCAGCACAUCUCCUGGAUUCCUUAGUGGGCUUCAGCUGUGGUUGCUAUUCUGAGUACUGCUCUCAUCACACCCCCACAGAGGGGGUCUUACCACACAAAGGGAGAAUGGGCCUUCAGGAGAUGCUGGGCUGGCCUAACAGCUCAGGUGCUCCUAAACUCCGACACAGAGUUCCUGCUUUGGGUGGAUGCAUUUCUCAAUUGUCAUCAGCCUGGUGGGGUUACUGCAGUGUGCUGCCAAAUGGGACAGCACACAGCCUGUGCACAUGGGACAUGUAAUGGGUCUCCCCACGGGGGCUGUAUUUCACACUCCUCCACCUGUCUCAAACUCUAAGGUCGGCACUUGACACCAAGGUAACUUCUCUCCUGCUCAUGUGUCAGUGUCUACCUGCCCAAGUAAGUGGCUUUCAUACACCAAGUCCCAAGUACUUCCCAUCCUAACAGAAGUAACCCAGCAAGUCAAGGCCAGGAGGACCAGGGGUGCAGACAGAACACAUACUGGAACACAGGAGGUGCUCAAUUACUAUUUGACUGACUGAAUGAAUGAAUGAAUGAAUGAGGAAGAAAACUGUGGGUAAUCAAACUGGCAUAAAAUCCAGUGCGCUCCCUAGGAAAUCCGGGAGGUAUUCUGGCUUCCCUAAGAAACAAUGGAAGAGAAGGAACUUGGAUGAGGAAACUGUUCAGCAAGAGGAAGGGCUUCUCACACUUUCGUGUGUUUGUGGAUCACCUGAGGAUCCUGUGAAAAUACAGAUACUGAUUCAGUGGGUCUGUGUAGAGCCUGAGACUGCCAUUCUAACAUGUUCCCAGGGGAUGCUGAUGCUGCUGGUCCUGGGACCGCACUGCAUGCAUGUGAGGCCCUGUAGGUCUCAGCAGAGGCCCAUGGAGAGGCAAUGUGUGGCUCUGGCUGCCCAGGGCCCAACUCGGUUCACACGGAUCGUGCUGCUCCCUGGCCAGCCUUUGGCCACAGCACCACCAGCUGCUGUUGCUGAGAGAGCUUCUUCUCUGUGACAUGUUGGCUUUCAUCAGCCACCCUGGGAAGCGGAAAGUAGCUGCCACUAUCUUUGUUUCCCCACCUCAGGCCUCACACUUUCCCAUGAAAAGGGUGAAUGUAUAUAACCUGAGCCCUCUCCAUUCAGAGUUGUUCUCCCAUCUCUGAGCAAUGGGAUGUUCUGUUCCGCUUUUAUGAUAUCCAUCACAUCUUAUCUUGAUCUUUGCUCCCAGUGGAUUGUACAGUGAUGACUUUUAAGCCCCACGGCCCUGAAAUAAAAUCCUUCCAAGGGCAUUGGAAGCUCACUCCACCUGCCACAUGGCUUUUCAUGCUUCCAAGUGUCAGGGCCUUGCCCAGAUAGACAGGGCUGGCUCUGCUGCCCCAACCUUUCAAGGAGGAAACCAGACACCUGAGACAGGAGCCUGUAUGCAGCCCAGUGCAGCCUUGCAGAGCACAAGGCUGGAGGCAUUUGUCAUCACUACAGAUAUGCAACUAAAAUAGACGUGGAGCAAGAGAAAUGCAUUCCCACCGAGGCCGCUUUUUUAGGCCUAGUUGAAAGUCAAGAAGGACAGCAGCAAGCAUAGGCUCAGGAUUAAAGAAAAAAAUCUGCUCACAGUCUGUUCUGGAGGUCACAUCACCAACAAAGCUCACGCCCUAUGCAGUUCUGAGAAGGUGGAGGCACCAGGCUCAAAAGAGGAAAUUUAGAAUUUCUCAUUGGGAGAGUAAGGUCCCCCCGUCCCAGAAUGAUAACGGCACAGUGGCAGAACAAACUCCACCCUAACGUGGGUGGACCUCGUCCAGUCUGUUGAAGGCCUGAAUAUAACAAAAGGGCUUAUUCUUCCUCAAGUAAGGGGGAACUCCUGCUUUGGGCUGGGACAUAAGUUUUUCUGCUUUCAGACGCAAACUGAAAAAUGGCUCUUCUUGGGUCUUGAGCUUGCUGGCAUAUGGACUGAAAGAAACUACGCUAUUGGAUCUCCUGGAUCUCCAGCUUGCUGACUGCAGAUCUUGAGAUAUGUCAGCCUCUACAGUCACAAGAGCUAAUUCAUUCUAAUAAACCAAUCUCUCUGUA